rnacentral:rRNA from 1 species
UACGUAGGGACCGAGCGUUGUCCGGAUUCAUUGGGCGUAAAGAGCUCGUAGGCGGCUGUUCAAGUCGAACGUGAAAACUCGGAGCUCAACUCCGAGCCUGCGUUCGAUACUGGACGGCUAGAGUCUGGUAGGGGGAUCUGGAAUUCCUGGUGUAGCGGUGGAAUGCGCAGAUAUCAGGAGGAACACCGGUGGCGAAGGCGGCUCACUGGACCGGUACUGACGCUGAUGCGCGAAAGCGUGGGGAGCAAACGGG